UAUCGGGUCCGACUAAGCCAUGCGAGUCAAGGGGCUCCCUUCGGGGAGCACCGGCGCACGGCUCAGUAACACGUGGCUAACCUACCCUCGGGUGGGGGAUAACCUCGGGAAACUGAGGCUAAUCCCCCAUAGGGGAGGAGGUCUGGAAUGAUCCCUCCCCGAAAGCGCCUCACGGCGCGCCCGAGGAUGGGGCUGCGGCGGAUUAGGUAGUUGGUGGGGUAACGGCCCACCAAGCCUACGAUCCGUACGGGCCCUGAGAGGGGGAGCCCGGAGAUGGACACUGAGACACGGGUCCAGGCCCUACGGGGCGCAGCAGGCGCGAAACCUCCGCAAUGCGCGAAAGCGCGACGGGGGGACCCCGAGUGCCAUCCCUCUGGGAUGGCUUUUCCGGAGUGUAAACAGCUCCGGGAAUAAGGGCUGGGCAAGUCCGGUGCCAGCAGCCGCGGUAAUACCGGCGGCCCAAGUGGUGGCCACUGUUAUUGGGCCUAAAGCGUCCGUAGCCGGCCCGGUAAGUCUCUGCUUAAAUCCUGCGGCUCAACCGCAGGGCUGGCAGAGAUACUGCCGGGCUUGGGACCGGGAGAGGCCGGGGGUACCCCAGGGGUUAGCGGUGAAAUGCGUUGAUCCCUGGGGGACCACCUGUGGCGAAGGCGCCCGGCUGGAACGGGUCCGACGGUGAGGGACGAAGCCGGGGGAGCAAACGGAUUAGAUACCCGGGUAGUCCCGGCUGUAAACUCUGCGGACUA
rnacentral:rRNA from 1 species